rnacentral:rRNA from 1 species
GAGUUUGAUCCUGGCUCAGGACGAACGCUGGCGGCGUGCUUAACACAUGCAAGUCGAACGGAAAGGCCCUUCGGGGUACUCGAGUGGCGAACGGGUGAGUAACACGUGGGUGAUCUGCCCCGCACUUUGGGAUAAGCCUGGGAAACUGGGUCUAAUACCGAAUAUGACCACGCUCUUCAUGGGGUGUGGUGGAAAGCUUUUGCGGUGUGGGAUGGGCCCGCGGCCUAUCAGCUUGUUGGUGGGGUAAUGGCCUACCAAGGCGACGACGGGUAGCCGGCCUGAGAGGGUGACCGGCCACACUGGGACUGAGAUACGGCCCAGACUUCUACGGGAGGCAGCAGUGGGGAAUAUUGCACAAUGGGCGCAAGCCUGAUGCAGCGACGCCGCGUGAGGGAUGACGGCCUUCGGGUUGUAAACCUCUUUCACCAGGGACGAAGCGCAAGUGACGGUACCUGGAGAAGAAGCACCGGCCAACUACGUGCCAGCAGCCGCGGUAAUACGUAGGGUGCGAGCGUUGUCCGGAAUUACUGGGCGUAAAGAGCUCGUAGGUGGUUUGUCGCGUUGUUCGUGAAAACUCACAGCUUAACUGUGGGCGUGCGGGCGAUACGGGCAGACUAGAGUACUGCAGGGGAGACUGGAAUUCCUGGUGUAGCGGUGGAAUGCACAGAUAUCAGGAGGAACACCGGUGGCGAAGGCGGGUCUCUGGGCAGUAACUGACGCUGAGGAGCGAAAGCGUGGGGAGCGAACAGGAUUAGAUACCCUGGUAGUC